UGUUCAGUCUACUCAGGACUUACACAUGCUCUGAAAUUCAGUAUACUAAAGAGAUCCAAUCCAGUAAGUUCCACUCGUUAUGCACCCCAGUCUAAUAGUAUUCAUUAGCUAGAGUAUGCUCUGUGCCAGCACUUGGCUGAAACAACUUUUCAGCUUGUUUUCUGCAUAGUGAAAGACCUGGCAUGUCUGGUUCUGGACCUGGUGCAAAGGGUAUGAGCUUGGAUGUGCCUGCAUCAAACCUUCAGUGUCUGGCUCACAUUUCAUGCAUCUAAGCCAAAUUUAAUAGUGUCUCCUUGCUGUCCUUCACUUCUGUUGGCUGGAUCAGCAGGAGAUGCAAGCCUUGACUACAUGCUCCUCUUCGGGAAAACAAAAGGUGGUGGGAAGCAACAUUUCCUAUACUUACAAGAAGAUGCUGUGGCUAGCUUCUCUGCAAAGGAUUUGUAGGCACAGUGUUGUUUGUUAACCAUGACACCUCUCCAGAACAAGACAGAUAGAGCAUGGAAAGAAGCACUGAAAUGAGGUUAUGGGAUGAAGUCAGCACACUGAAACUAACCACAUCACUGAAAUUCUUAGUGUUUCAUUGAGGAGAAAAGGAUUUUUUCUGUAAUUCUGCAGUGUUUGCUAAGACAACAGUGUUUUCCUUCAAUAAUGCUUGAAUGUUGCAGUAUAGCAUCAGGUAAAAUUUAUGAAAUUCAAUUUAGCAAUUCAUUUAGAUAUAUUGACUUCAUAAUGAAAAACAAAUACAUAUUUAAAUGAGCUAUCAAAAAAAUUUUGAGCACUUCAAAGAUAAUUUGGAAAAUACAGACAGCCUAUCUUUAUCUGAUUCUUGAAAUGUAGUUGAAUUUAACAUAUUUUUACAGUGGCAUCUUUCUGACAAAAGACAGCCCAAAACUGUUGUUGCUUCUAAUAAUCAGAUAAUGUCUUGAUUCAUCUAAAUUAUGUCUCCAACCCAACUCUUCAGUGUUAGAGUUUUAGUCUCUCUGGCUACUUGUUUCUUGACCUGUGUCUUUCUGGGACUGUAUCUGGGUGUGGGAUGGUUUUCAAUAGUCUUUUGCAAGACCCCCAGUUAAGCUCUGUAAGGGAUCUUCAUAGCUCCGUGAUACAACAUGCUGUCAAAUAUGCAUUAAGAAAGGGCUCCCAAAUUGCCUGUGGGCUGGUUAUUUCAAAAAGACAUGUGAGCACUGCUUCAUGGCCCAGUGACUCAUCCUGCUCCCCUGGACUAACCUAGGAGCAGUUUUCCUGCUUCUCCUUUUCCAGCUGUUGGUGAUGCUGUCAUUUCAAGGAAUGCUGUGGGAGCUCCUGUGGCAAUAAACUUGUUGGGACAAGUCAGGCACUCUAAUUAGUGUGGAAUUCUGUUCAGUAGUUUUCCUCAGGAAGAGAAAGCAUACUAGGCCAGCAUUCAGCACUAACCUGUACUGAUUUCUAAUUAGUUUCUGUUCUGGGCUUAAAAUGCUAUCUACUAAUACUAUGACAUUGAAAAGUGUGGGUCUCUGUCACUCCAGAGAUUGCUUUCCCCUCCUUGAGACACUCUAGCUGGUUGCAGAGAAAAAGCUUAGGCAAAACUUUUCUGGGAAAAAGGCUCUUGCAGGAGAAGAAAACGACAUGGUUAAAGAGGGUCAUCUUGCAAAGUGACUGUAGGGCAUUGGCACUGCAAUACAUUGCUGCAUACAUUGAAUAUUGUGAAAGGAAGAUGCAUUUCAUAUAAGAUAAUGUUAAAAAGAGAUUAGGAAAUGAUUCAGAUUUGUGGGUUUCCAUUCCUUCAGCAGUGGGGUGCCAGAUUUAUGAAAUGUUUCAUGUAUGUCUUCUCACAAUGGAUCUAUCACUGUUUGUGUCUUCUUUCUUGCCAACGUGUUUGAAAGAUAGAACAUAGAUGAUUGGCCCUUUUUUUCCAUGGAGACAAUACUGCUUUAUGGUGUUAAGAAGUGGGAUAUUUUUGGAAGAACGUGUGAGAUCACCUCACUGAUACCAGCAAUAUCCAAAAGAACGUAAAGCUGAGACUAAGAUUGUGGCAGAGCUUAGAGAGAAACUUAUCCAAGUAUGAAAGAGGGCAUCUCAAAUGUUGAGUUUGAGGUAGGAUAUGAAUAACUGACUAAAUCCAAAUCAAAGAAAAGAUUUAGGCAUUGAGAAUAAAGGGAGCAUGUUCACAUCUGCUUGAUACUUAAACUCUUACGUAAUGUAUUUGUGUGUUUUGCAUUAAAACGUCAAUGCAUAAAACUCUACCUUUAUGGGAAGAGAUCUCUCAAGAUAUCUCAGUGAGAUAGUUAUGUUUAUCCAUCUUGCUCUCUCUCUCCAAUCUUGUGAGCUGGCUCAUGCCCUGACAGUGCCUAGAAUGAGAGAAACCAACAUUUUUUCCCAUAGACCAUCUCUGAGGAUGUGGAAGCUGACCCUGCUGCCCUCUGCCUCAGAAAGAAGAUUUCCACACAGAUCUCUGCCUCCCAAAUGAGUGCUUUAACCACUAGUACUUUGCAAAAGCAGCAGCAAUGACAUUUCCUCAUCCAAGCUCUGGUGCUGUGUGUCUGAUCUCUCCAUCUGUAAACUCCUUGCUUGCUGAACUGCUGCAGACAAGGCUGUGAAUUCCACUCCUACAGCCAGAGUUUUUGAAAUUAAAUGGUGACCAUGCUUGGUAUCAUUGCAGCCAUGUCCUUGUAGUUCUUAGAAGUAAAAAAAUAGCCUUCAGAUACAGAUGUUUUUAUAAAACAGGUGUGGAAAUGAUAACUAAAUUUUUCCCUGAUGACCAGUGUAUCUCAAACUGUCGGUUCCGUUACGAAAAAAAUACUGCAAACAUUUGUGCAUAGUGAUAAAUGGAAGGCACUUAAAACACAGCAAAACUUGAGAAAGAGUAGUGAGCCCCCAUUUCCAGACUAGCUACUCCAGUGCAGCAGUUUCCCAGAAUUUGAAGGAAAAUAAAUUUAAAGGAAUGAAACCACUCAUUGUCUCUUUGCACCAUCAUCAUAGAGUCAUCAUAGAAUGGCCUGGGUUGAAAAGGACCUCAAAGAUCAUCGAGUUUCAACCCCCCUGCUGAGUGCAGGGUCGCCAACAUACUGUAAACUUUUUCUGACAUAGACUAUCUCUUUGAUACUUUUGUACAAAGCGAACAGAGCAGAAUCCCUAGAGCAGAACUUUAAAAGGUACAGCUUUAACUUCAUAUAAAUGUUUACUCCUUCUCAAGACAAAUUCUAUGUGUGGGAGCGGCUAUUUACUGGACAUGAGGUGCCUUAUCGUCUAGCACCAAAUUGAAGUAUUUUCCUGCAGGGCUCUGUUUUCACCCCCUAUUCAAUCUUCCUCUCCCUUCGAAAUGCUUUACUUUGCACGUUUCUCUUUGCUGAGCUUUCCUAAAGUGCUUCUGGCAGAAACAUUUUACAAGAGAGGAGGAUGCCUCAGGCUUCUUCCCAGAAGCUAGAAGACUUUCUAUGCAGGGAGGCUGACGCCAGCCAUGCAAAGUGGGUAGGUCUGCAAAGUCUUUUUUACCUUGAAUAAACAAUGGAAAGCCAUUAUUUACUGAGCGUAUUGUAAACAUCUGUUGCAGAGAUGUAUCGCUGUAAAAAGUAGGGCAAACCCAACACAGGAAGAAGGAAGCACCAACCCGCAUAGCAGAAUGAGAUUUAUUUGAAUUCAUUUUAAAACCACCAACAAACUCCUGGUAUAUUAGCUUAUGCAGGACAUAAGUAAGAAAUAUUCAGGAUACCUACAUGACACCAAAAUGAGUGGGAGAUUCGAUAAUGACAUUAUGGAGUCAAGGCUGAAUUUUAUUUUUUUUUUCCUUAGAAAAUAACUUAGCUUAGAUUGUAAAACAAGUGCAAACUUGCUAGUUGAUUGAUUGAGGAAUAUCCAGGAUACAUAGCUAUGGAAAAAGCAAAAAUACUGUGGUAUCUCUAAAAACAAGGAAGUACUGUGAUAAUUUAAGGACCUCGUCAAAUCUUGUAUUCACAGUGCUACUGGCUGACUGGAUUUCCUGGGGAAAGCUCUUCAGUGCAACAUAACAGAGAUUGCUGGAAAAUCUUGGUUGGAUGCUCAACUGUAAUCAUGUAACAGUCAGGAGGUGUUAUUUUUGGGAAAGAGACAACUUGUGACCUGAAGAAGUGCUUAUCUCUGUGGGAAGGACAGAGGUUUCCAUUUAACUAGGCUUUCAAUAAGACCGUGGAUGUGGAGAGGCAAAGCAAGGAAUAGAAACCCUAUAAUUUAUUCCAAAGAUUUCUGACUAGACUCCACUUCUCUCCACAUGACCUGGCAUGUGUGAUAACUGGCGUCAGCGCAUUGAUCACCUGAGGCAACUGAAGUCAGGCUUCUACCGCAUGUGGAAAACCUGACACCAAUGUUUUGCUCUGCUGAGCACAGUCAGAGCUGAGCUAUGUCCUAUGGAAAUGCAGUGUGGUUUCCCCAUCCCUUGCAGGGAUGCGUGGCUUGCAUCCACUUGCUGUGGAGAGGGAGAAUGGGGACAUGCUCUGGAGCUGCUGGUUUGGCUGUGCUGCUGAAGAAAAUGAAGCUGAUGAAACAAUGGCAUAGCCCCUGUGAAUGACGAUGCUGAAAGAGGCCUAGUCUGCUGAAGUCACCAAGACCUUAGUCCCUCAUAAACAGCCGAACAAGUGCACUGGGAAGAGAGUUUCUGGUCAUCUGAUAAAGAUGACUGCAGAGAUGAAAGCAAACAGACACAGGCUGGGAUUUAACCACAUCACCAAAGCAACCUGCAGCCUGUAAAUAUCAAGAAACAAAUUUACUUAGGCAGCAGAGUUAGCCCUGCAGGGUGGUGAAGCCCAUCUUCCCCAGCAGUUUCUCGCCUGGAAAAGCCCAGCCUUGGGGGAUGUGACGACCAGACAGAGAUACAUGAUCUGAGGUCACCCCUCAGCCUGUUGCUGUCCAUCAGUGGGGUGGCCACAGGGGAGAAAUCUCAACAAAGGUCUAACAGCACCACGGUGCUACUUCUGUGAAGAAUGACUAUGCCUUGAGUGCAUGAAGGUGAGAUUAGCACCAGCUCUCUACCCUGCUAUUAGGGCAUGUGACACAAGACCUGUAGCAUACUAUAGCAAUGUGUUGAGACUCCAUAAGUACUUCACUGCGUGACUCAAACACAACUGGUAUAUAUUCAGUGUAUCUUAGAAGAGAGACUCAUUCCUUUGGAGGUUCCUCUGUUGUCAUUUUUACUUCAUGAUGUAAGAAUUUAAGGGCAGUUUGUCAUCAGAUCACAAAGGCAAUUUCCUUAUGCUUUAUAGGUAAAGAGAGGUUGCUGUUUUCAUUUAUAGAUAUAAUUAUUUUUAUUAUUGUAAGAUUAGCAUGUUCCUGUUUGUCAGACUUUUGAUUAGACUUGUAGAGUAUGUUUAGAAAAAGUAAACCUACCACCACUAAUUAUGGUAUUGCCUUGUCAAGACAAUAUCACUUUAUACUGCUUGAGACAGGUUCUUCUGAAAUUCUAUCUAUAUAUCAUGCCAACACUGCUUGAAUGGGAUAAAAUACUCAGAUCAAAGAUCAUGUGCCCCCUCAAAACCUACUAGAGAUCACUGGGUUUAUUUCAUUUUCUUAAAGAAGCAUAAUUAGAAAUAUUUGACAUUACACAAUAUUUCAAAGUAUUUGUUCUCAUCAGGAGUAAAAAAAAAACAUAAUAAAGAUGAUAAAAAUAAUACAUGUCAUUCGGAUCUCAAAAUUCAACAGAAUUUUAACAUAAAAACUAACCCAAGAAUGGAUGCUAUGAUUUAGCCAGCAAGAAUCACUCUUCCCACAACCUCAGUGCAAUCCCAUACUCAGUGGAAGGAAGGAGAUCUUUAACACCACAUCACAAUACUAUGAGACUGAAUGCGGACUACAGUGUCUCUGAAAGCAUGGAGGAAUAUAGACAAAAGGAAGUUGGUAACCCUAAAUAUAAUUUGGCCAGGAAAUGAGGCUGACUCACUGUCUCAACAAUUAUAUUGUAUUCUUCUAACUUGUCCUACAAAAGAUUAAAAUCUAGUGGUUUUCAAGGCAUUGUCUGGUUUUCAUUGUCAUAGUUUGCCCCUAUCAAUCAGGGAUGUUAACAUUUGAAAGAACCGUCAAACAUAUGUUAAAAUGUCAAAAAUUUCCCUCAGUUGUCUGUUUCUAUUGUAUAUAUGCCUAAUAUCUCAGGAUUAAUCCUGAUCCCACUUGAUGCAAUGGCAGAACCAACUCUGAUGACAACAGUGCAGUGUUGAAUCUUGAGGUUCCUCUUCCUCUAUUUUUCUGCUGUCAGAAGUAUCCCCUUGAAUCUUUCUGUAAAUGGAUAUGCGCAAAAGUAUAAUGGAAAACAGAAAGGAUUGUGUUAUAAAUCUUCUUUCAAAAAUCA